AUUGAACGCUGGCGGCAUGCUUUACACAUGCAAGUCGAGCGGCAGCGCGGGGGCAACCCUGGCGGCGAGCGGCGAACGGGUGAGGAAUACAUCGGAACGUACCCCGGAGUGGGGGAUAACGCCGCGAAAGCGGCGCUAAUACCGCAUAUGCUCUGAGGAGGAAAGUGGGGGACCGCAAGGCCUCACGCUCUGGGAGCGGCCGAUGUCCGAUUAACUAGUUGGUGGGGUAAAGGCCCACCAAGGCGACGAUCGGUAGCUGGUCUGAGAGGAUGAUCAGCCACACUGGGACUGAGACACGGCCCAGACUCCUACGGGAGGCAGCAGUGGGGAAUUUUGGACAAUGGGGGCAACCCUGAUCCAGCCAUGCCGCGUGCGGGAAGAAGGCC
rnacentral:rRNA from 1 species